rnacentral:miRNA from 2 species
UAUUGCACACUUCCCGCCCUUU